AGGAACCUCUGUCAGAAGAGGAACUUCACGCCAGAGAACGUUGGCAGAGGAAGAGACCUGAGGGAUCCACCACCCACCCACCACCUCAUGUCCAUUCCUGGGGACGCUGGGCCAAGGAAGGUGCUCAAUCCCAUCCGAUUCUCUGCGACCCCAUGGACCCCACCAGGCUCCUCUCUCCAUGGGAUUCUCCAGGCAACAAUACCAGAGUGGGUGGCCAUGCCCUCCUCCAGGGGAUCUUCCUAACCCAAGUAUCAGACCUGCAUCUCUUACAUCUCCUGUGUUGGCAGGGGACACAUGUUUGAUCCCUGGUCCGGGAAGAUUACAUGUGCUGCAGGGCAGUGAAAGUCCGUGCACCCCAGCUACCGAGCCUGGACUCUGGAGCCAGUGAGCCGCAACUGCUGAGGCCUCGUGCUGCAGCUCCUGAAGCCAGCGCGCCUGGCGCCUGUGCUCACAACAAGAGAAGCCACAGUGAAAGCCGGUGCACCACAACAAAGAGAAACCCCUGCUCUCUGCAAACAGAGGAAGCCUUCACGUGGCAACGAAGACC